GUUACUUGACUGGUACCUCCAGCCCACCAGCAGGCAAUGAUGGCAUCAGACUAGAGGAUCACCAGUAAAUCAUUGUAAACAAAGGAGCCAACAGAGUGAGAUGAAGGGGACAACUUCAGAUACUCAGGCAGAAGCAUAAGUCCCCACCUGCUGACCUGCUGCCUGCUAUCUUAACACGAAUUCUUCAUCUGAAUGGAUGAGCUUUUCACAGAGUUCCAAACUAAGGAAUCCAGGAGUGGCCAAUCCAGAGAUUCAUUCCUUAUCUUUGACGAACAUCUGAACUCCUGGCUCAUCCUGUGGAAUUCAGGCCAUACAGGAGAUCAAGGUCAUUUGCUUUGGGUUAAAUGAAUGUUGCCAGGUGGAGGUUGCUAGAGGGAGAGUGCUAUGUGAAAGUGCUGUAUAAACUGCUUGCUUUUCACAAACAGUAGUGAUUCUUUAUCCUGUCCAGCCUGCCACAACUGGACCAUCCUGUAUGUAAGUCCCCUUAAUAAAUCCUGUGUCUCAUUCA
rnacentral:lncRNA from 1 species